GCUGGGUGUGGUGGCUCACGCCUGUAAUCCCAACUACUCAGGAGGCUGAGGCGGGAGGAUUGCUUGAGCCCAGGAGUUUGAGACCAGCCUGGGCAACAUAGCAAGACCCCAUCUCAA
rnacentral:sRNA from 1 species